UCGGUAUUGUUGCAACGAUAUUUCGUGCUCAUCGUGCUUUCAAUUAGUGCGCGAUUAUUCGUUAAUCGAUAGUGGUUGAUCAAUAAUUUAUGCAUGCGGUCACUCUGUUUUAUUGUUAUUGUUUUGGUUUUCUUUUUUUUAUUUUUGCAAGUGCUUAAUUUGUUUAUAUGCGGGGUGUGCCAUAUAAGUCAGUGCUUAAUUAAAAUAAAUGCGAUCCACAACAAUAAAGCAAACACAAAAGCAUAUCCUGUUAUUGCACAUUGCUGAGUAAGUCAUGCAAGGAUCAGCUAAAUUCAUAUGUAUAUCAUUUCUUACUCACCAACCACUCCAGCAUGUUCUGCGUUGGCACUGGCGCUUGAAAUGGAUCCGCAUCGUCGGCAUCAAACUCAUAAAUAUUAUCCUCAGUGCGCACACCGGGACCAAAGUCAAUUGUUUCGUUAUCAAAGUGAGCACCAACCACGGAUACUGUGAGUGCCAUUAAAGGUCUUCUUCUCAAUUUUGGAUCAUGCAUCGAAUAGCUUUCGAUUUCGUUGCCAUUCUUAAAGCCACACAACACUUUAAACA